rnacentral:rRNA from 1 species
AUUGAGCGCUGGCGGCAUGCCUUACACAUGCAAGUCGAACGGUAACAGGUCUUCGGAUGCUGACGAGUGGCGAACGGGUGAGUAAUACAUCGGAACGUGCCUAGUAGUGGGGGAUAACUACUCGAAAGAGUGGCUAAUACCGCAUGAGAUCUACGGAUGAAAGCAGGGGAUAGCAAGACCUUGUGCUACUAGAGCGGCCGAUGGCAGAUUAGGUAGUUGGUGGGAUAAAAGCUUACCAAGCCGACGAUCUGUAGCUGGUCUGAGAGGACGAUCAGCCACACUGAGACUGCGAAACGGCCCAGACUCCUACGGGAGGCAGCAGUGGGGAAUUUUGGACAAUGGGCGCAAGCCUGAUCCAGCAAUGCCGCGUGCAGGAUGAAGGCCUUCGGGUUGUAAACUGCUUUUGUACGGAACGAAAAGCCCCGGGUUAAUACCCUGGGGUCAUGACGGUACCGUAAGAAUAAGCACCGGCUAACUACGUGCCAGCCGCCGCGGUAA